UUACGACCACAUCGCAUUGAAACAUCAGUUCCCGUACGAUAACCGAAGUUAAGCAACGUCGAGCCUGGUCAGUACCUAGGUGGAUGACCGCUUGGGAAUACCAGGUGCUGUAAG